rnacentral:tRNA from 1 species
GCGGCUGUAGCUCAGCUGGAUAGAGUACCUGGCUACGAACCAGGCGGUCAGAGGUUCGAAUCCUCUCAGCCGCACCA